ACACUGGAGCCCCCUCCCUCCCAGCCCCGCAGCUCCUGAGGAAAUCAGGAACUGGAGCUGGAGAGAGCGGACUGGAGCUCCCACCUCCUCCAAGGGCCCCAGCCGGCCGGGGGUUUCAAAGUUUCCCAAACCCAGGGACACCUCCUGGAUUCUCAGUUUGGGGCUGUGUUCCCAAGAGCCUCGGUGGUUGUAGGAUAAAGGAGUUUGGAGAAACAAAGUUGGAAGCGAGGAAACAGAAUGGGAACGGUUUGCAGCUUGCACCAAAGUAAAAAAGUGUCAGAACCACACCUUAAAAGAAAAUCCCAAACCGCCCAUCUUAUGUCACCUUCUCUUACCAUUCUAAGAAAAUAGCAUUUAGUAUGCUGUUAUAACCAAGGAAAUCUGCGUUGAGUAAAGUGCAACUAAGACGGAGAAAGAGGGAGUGUAGGUAACCCCCUGCCUUUAUUCCCCCCACCUCCCACCGUCAGUUCUUCCAGAUGUUUCUCCUAAACGUUAACGGGACAGUUAUUCAAUCGAUCAGUUUAGUGGCUGGUAGACUCCAGCGGCCACCCGGCAGUAAGAGCUUGGCCAGGGCGGAGGAAAGUUUGCACACAGUAGGUACUCAAAUAGUGAUGCAAAUGAUGAAAUCUACUGAGUGCAAAGACAAGGUGAUUGACUCGGUUGGUGCGGCUGCUGGAAAGCUGACUACCGCUAGCCUCGGCAGUCACGGGGUGAUCCAGUCUCAGGAUUCCAGGAUUUGCAUUUAUCAGCCUUCAUUCAACCUGCCCUAUUGUUAGUUCAAAGCCUGGCUGGGAGGGACUUCUAGACUCUGCUCCUCACUCACCUUCAGUUUAAAAUUCUCCACCAAUAAGAAGGUCCUAGAAAAGCUGGCAGCAUAGGGUUGGCAGGGAUUUUCUGGGCUUAGUGACAACAUAAACUAAAGUCAUUUUCUUUUUCAUGCGUGAAUUUGCUCAGGAAGUUACAACUGAGUGCUCCAGCUUGGAGAGAAGGGCCGGGCUGCCUGUCCGCUUUGACGGACAGUUAGUGUGGGGGGUGGCAGCACCGUGACCUCUCAGCGCAAGAUCUAGGGUUUCACCUUUUCAUCCCACUUAGCCGAUACCAUAGAAACAACCCAUUUGUAUUAUUCAAUUCAACAGAGGCAAUUACAAUGUCACAGCAAAGCACCAUGGGCAUGAAGAAACUUUAUCCUGAAAGCAAUCUUGGACUCUCAAAAAAAAAACCAAAAAACAAAAAAAACGCCACGGGAAUAGUCAUUUGAAUUUCUUCAUGCCAGGCUACCAGGAAAAAUGCAAUUUGGAACAACACAUAUAAGGUCGUUUGGCUCCAAAGAAAGAAACCUCCCAAUUUUUUAAAUAUGUCCAUACAAAAAUCCUCAAUUUAUAAGAAAUUAAACAGGUAAGGUAACUCUUCUAACCCCAAA